UUGGGAACACUGGGUAGUUGGUAUUGUCGCAUAACAAUAUGGCGACGGUGAAUAUGGUCAAUUCAACUGGAACCCUCUAAAAUUUAGGACUUUUUUAUGUAAAGAGUUUUUGACAUUGUUUCAUUUGUUCUUUUUUUGUAAAUGAGAACCUUCUGAAAUAAAGAUGUUAUUAUUAUUAACAAACUUGAACCUGCAAGAAUCAAGAGAAGAAUCAAGAGAGAACUGAAACACAAAAGAGAGGUUGGAAUUUACGCCGAAAACAUUUCAUCAUUUACAGUUACAGUAGAUAAGGAUGAAAUAUGUUUUUGUGUGAAAUAGCGAUACAUUAGUUUCUAACCCUGUCCCUCGGGUCGCUAGCAUCAAGAUUUCAAACGACUCUUCGCAGUCGUCAGUCUCCUCUCUCCUCUUUAUUUGUCUAUGGACCUAGUAUCAUGUUUCUUAUGCGGCAUGCCAGAAUUUCUCUCUAAGGGCCUGUCCCUGUCCAUUUGAUAUAACGUUUAUGGUACUCACACAGUGCACAGUAGAGAUAAUACAAAACAAACAUUUCUCGAUUUGUACUUGUACAUAUUUAUUUUCACAAUUAAGAAUUUACGAAGUGCUGAAGCCAGAAAUGGAAACAUACUCAAAAAUUUUCCUAGAUGAAAGUAAUCAUCACAGAGUAAAGAUGGAAAUGGGAGUAGAUGAUGGAAGCUAUGAAAAAAGGAAUUCAUUUGACUUGGGUUUUCAGUACACGACUGAUGGGGGGCAUAUUGAUGAAAAGACUAAAAUCAUGGAUAUUGCUCAUCAUUACACUGAUGAGAAUGGAAUAAGACCGUCUAUUAAAUAUGAAAUAGGCGAGUUUGCUU